rnacentral:rRNA from 1 species
GAAGAGUUUGAUCAUGGCUCAGAUUGAACGCUGGCGGCAGGCCUAACACAUGCAAGUCGAACGGUAACAGGAAGCAGCUUGCUGCUUUGCUGACGAGUGGCGGACGGGUGAGUAAUGUCUGGGAAACUGCCUGAUGGAGGGGGAUAACUACUGGAAACGGUGGCUAAUACCGCAUAACGUCGCAAGACCAAAGAGGGGGACCUUCGGGCCUCUUGCCAUCAGAUGUGCCCAGAUGGGAUUAGCUUGUUGGUGAGGUAACGGCUCACCAAGGCGACGAUCCCUAGCUGGUCUGAGAGGAUGACCAGCCACACUGGAACUGAGACACGGUCCAGACUCCUACGGGAGGCAGCAGUGGGGAAUAUUGCACAAUGGGCGCAAGCCUGAUGCAGCCAUGCCGCGUGUAUGAAGAAGGCCUUCGGGUUGUAAAGUACUUUCAGCGGGGAGGAAGGUGUUGUGGUUAAUAACCGCAGCAAUUGACGUUACCCGCAGAAGAAGCACCGGCUAACUCCGUGCCAGCAGCCGCGGUAAUACGGAGGGUGCAAGCGUUAAUCGGAAUUACUGGGCGUAAAGCGCACGCAGGCGGUCUGUCAAGUCGGAUGUGAAAUCCCCGGGCUCAACCUGGGAACUGCAUUCGAAACUGGCAGGCUUGAGUCUUGUA